rnacentral:pre_miRNA from 2 species
UCUUAUUGAUGAGCAAAGAAAGUAGUUUCUUGAGGUUGAAUCUACUCCUGGUAAAGAUGCUGUGAA